CUUGACGGAGCAUAGUUGUUCAAGGAAACUUGCUGGUUAAAAGAUGCACUCCAGUGAACUACUUCCAACAAGCUGCCUGACCUGUGGGAAUCCUGCAUGUGUAGUUAUAAGUGCUAGUGAGGGUCCCAACAUUGAGUAGCAAUGUGGAAGCGAGAAGUCAGUGCAGACACAGAUUUUGAAUUAAAGUCUCAUAUGUCAUUA